rnacentral:rRNA from 1 species
UCCGUAGGCGGGCAAUUAAGUCAGAGGUGAAAUCUUUCGGCUUAACCGGGAAACUGCCAUUGAUACUGUUAGUCUUGAGUUCGGUUGAGGUAGGCGGAAUGUGUAAUGUAGCGGUGAAAUGCUUAGAUAUUACACAGAACACCAAUUGCGUAGGCAGCUUACUAGACCGACACUGACGCUGAGGCACGAAAGCGUGGGGAGCGAACAGGAUUAGAUACCCUGGUAGUCC